rnacentral:rRNA from 1 species
AGCGAACGCUGGCGGCAGGCUUAACACAUGCAAGUCGAACGGACCCUUCGGGGUUAGUGACGGACGGGUGAGUAACACGUGGGAACGUGCCUUUAGGUUCGGAACAACACAGGGAAACUUGUGCUAAUACCGGAUGUGCCCUUCGGGGGAAAGAUUUAUCGCCUUUAGAGCGGCCCGCGUCUGAUUAGCUAGUUGGUGGGGUAAAGGCCUACCAAGGCGACGAUCAGUAGCUGGUCUGAGAGGAUGGCCAGCCACAUUGGGACUGAGACACGGCCCAAACUCCUACGGGAGGCAGCAGUGGGGAAUCUUGCGCAAUGGGCGAAAGCCUGACACAGCCAUGCCGCGUGAAUGAUGAAGGUCUUAGGAUUGUAAAAUUCUUUCACCGGGGACGAUAAUGACGGUACCCGGAGAAGAAGCCCCGGCUAACUUCGUGCCAGCAGCCGCGGUAA